GGCAUCCGUACAGGACCAGGCAUGGCGUCGCAGUUCAACAACGGGGCGCCCCACCGCUACCCACAUGCAAGUAAGAACAUAGGGAUAUGCCUUACAAUGAGUCAGACCAUCAGUAAUGUCUACACUGGCUGUCAAUGGCUUUCCAGGAGUUCAGGCAGAGGAUAUUCCCAGCCCUACAUGGAGAUGCCAGGGAUCUUCUGAAGUACAAAUACCUGCUGGAAGUGUAAAGAGAAAGAAGGAAUUGUAGGUACCGAUAUCCCAGAGCAGCAGAAAAGACUUUUUAUGUAUGCAACUACAGCUGCACUGAUGCUACUAGCCCAGAGAAGG